GGGGGCGUUCAGAUUCGACAGGGUUAUAGGGUCAUGAGUUGCAGGUCGGGGAGCUUGAUCCUUCGUUAACAAGUAAGCAAAAACACAGAUGCAAAUAAUGUCAUCAAAUUCCCUAGCCGCAGCCUAGCUGCGGUUGCCUAACUUAACUUAGGCUCCUAGGACUCGAAGGCGACUUGACUACCCGUUGCCUUAGGGUAAGCCACGGUGGUUGCACUGAAGCAAAGUUAGUAGUUAGUAGCUUCAGCUAAGACAUAAUUACGAUCCCGGUUGGCUGUUUGUGCCAUCUUCAGCGGGCCGCAAGGUGAAAACUAAGCGGUAACUGGGGGAAUAGCAGACUAAGCUUGUAGAUACUUAUUUCUCGAUGAUUUUGGACGCGAGUGCAAUUCUCGCCGCCUCCACCA
rnacentral:tmRNA from 2 species